rnacentral:rRNA from 1 species
UUUUAUGGAGAGUUUGAUCCUGGCUCAGGAUGAACGCUGGCGGCGUGCCUAAUACAUGCAAGUCGAGCGAACGGACGAGAAGCUUGCUUCUCUGAUGUUAGCGGCGGACGGGGGAGUAACACGUGGAUAACCUACCUAUAAGACUGGGAUAACUUCGGGAAACCGGAGCUAAUA